ensembl:lncRNA
AAUCCACACCGGAAGGAAAUUUCCGCCCACGCUUCACCUGGACGCAGAUGAGCUUGUCCAGGAUGCCCAGCAGAUGGCGCAGUUGUUCUCUUUAUCUUCCCGCCUUGGCCUACUAAAGAAGACAAAGACCAGGGCGUUGUGGUGAUGAGACCCACUGCGCCUUCUUCAGCUGGCAGUGGAAGGGUCCCCCAUGGAUAAGGGCAUCCGGCAGAGUCAGCUCCUCUUCUCCGGCUCCUGGCAAGGUGGCUCAGCCUGCUGCGGUCUCGGCUCCAGCCCUCCCGAGGCCUCACCAGGGGCUGGCAGGACUGAAGAAGGCGUGUCUGGUCUCCAGGCGAGCUGCCGAGGGAAGCCUUCCCUGACUGUAGCGGGUGGCUCUGGGAUGGACGCUGCCCACACGUGCCAAUCCAGCCUCUGCCUUCGUACUUGUAAACAUACUCAGGGGCCCCUCAUGAGUCUGAUGCAGCCACUGAGAUCAACCUACUGAGAGGGCAAAGCGUCUUCACUUAACACUGG